rnacentral:rRNA from 1 species
GGAGGAAAGCAGGGGAUCGAAAGACCUUGUGCUUUUGGAGCGGCCGAUGUCUGAUUAGCUAGUUGGUGGGGUAAAGGCCUACCAAGGCGACGAUCAGUAGUUGGUCUGAGAGGACGACCAGCCACACUGGGACUGAGACACGGCCCAGACUCCUACGGGAGGCAGCAGUGGGGAAUUUUGGACAAUGGGCGCAAGCCUGAUCCAGCAAUGCCGCGUGAGUGAAGAAGGCCUUCGGGUUGUAAAGCUCUUUCAGUCGAGAAGAAAAAGCUGUGGUGAAUAACUGCGGUUUAUGACGGUAUCGACAGAAGAAGCACCGGCUAACUACGUGCCAGCAGCCGCGGUAAUACGUAGGGUGCGAGCGUUAAUCGGAAUUACUGGGCGUAAAGGGUGCGCAGGCGGUUUUGUAAGUCAGAUGUGAAAUCCCCGGGCUUAACCUGGGAAUUGCGUUUGAAACUACAAGGCUAG